GAUGAACGCUAGCGAUAGGCUUAACACAUGCAAGUCGAGGGGCAGCACAAGGUAACUUGCUAUUUGGGUGGCGACCGGCGCACGGGUGCGUAACGCGUAUGCAACUUGCCCUAUACAGGAGGAUAAACCGACGAAAGCCGAACUAAUACUGCGAAUGCUCCCAACUUGGCAUGCAGUGGAGAGGAAAGACAUUCGCUAUAGGAUAGGCAUGCGUCCCAUUAGCUUGUUGGUGAGGUAACGGCUCACCAAGGCAACGAUGGGUAGGGGAACUGAGAGGGUUAUCCACCAGACUGGUACUGAGACACGGACCCGAAUACUACGGGACGCAGCAGUGAGGAAUAAUGGUGAAGGAGCGCUGGUCUGACCCAGCCAAGUCGCGGGAAGGAGGACUGUGGUAGGAAUUGUAAACUUCUUUUAUACGGGAAUAACAAGAGUGACGUGUGCCUUUCUGCAGGUACCGUAUGAAUAAGCAUCGGCUAACUUCGUG
rnacentral:rRNA from 1 species